rnacentral:rRNA from 1 species
CAGCCGCCGCGGUAAUACGAAGGGUGCAAGCGUUACUCGGAAUUACUGGGCGUAAAGCGUGCGUAGGUGGUGGUUUAAGUCCGUUGUGAAAGCCCUGGGCUCAACCUGGGAAUUGCAGUGGAUACUGGGUCACUAGAGUGUGGUAGAGGAUAGUGGAAUUUCCGGUGUAGCAGUGAAAUGCGUAGAGAUCGGGAGGAACAUCAGUGGCGAAGGCGGCCAUCUGGGACAACACUGACGCUGAAGCACGAAAGCGUGGGGAGCAAACAGGAUUAGAUACCCCUGUAGUCCCUGUCUCUUAUAA